rnacentral:rRNA from 1 species
UACAGAGGCCUCGAGCGUUAGGCGGAAUCACUGGGCUUAAAGCGUGUGUAGGCGGACUUCUAAGUGCCUUGUGAAAUCCCACGGCUCACCCGUGGAACUGCUGGGCAUACUGGGAGUCUUGAGCCACCUAGGGGCGAGCGGAACAAAUGGUGGAGCGGUGAAAUGCGUAGAUAUCAUUUGGAACGCCAACGGAGAAAUCAGCUCGCUGGGGGUGUGCUGAGGCUGAGACACGAAAGCCAGGGGAGCGAACGGG